UUAGCAGAUGAUGAUAAAACAGACAGGGACAUCAGAACUCCUUUAAUGGUGUAAAUGAUGACUUAGUCUAAUGGGAAUCUCUCAGAUGCUAU
rnacentral:snoRNA from 1 species